AUCUCUCCAACCCUGGGUGACAGCUAUCUUAAGGGUGGUCCCUGCCGAGCUAUCAAGAAGGGGAAGAGUGAAAACACCACUUUUGGGCGAAGUGACAACGUGUUGUGUUGUUUAACUUCAAUCGGUGUUGUGACAACA